CUACCGACUAACCUCAUCCCACCUCCUUGACCUGUCCGUCUCCCCUGGACUGACCUAUCCCCUCCCCACCUAUACUCUCUCCACCUAUCUUCUUUACUCUCCAUCUUCGUUCCGCCUCCCCAUCCCUGUUUAUUCCAGUUCCCUCUCCCCACCCCCCUCUCUGAUGAAGGUUCUUGGCCCGCAACGUCAGCUUUUGUGCUCCUCAGAUGCUGCUUGGCCUGCUGUGCUCAUCCAGCCUCACAUUUUAUUAUGUUGGGAGAGAGAGCUGUUUUGGUUUGUGAUACAAGAGACGAGGCUGUCUCUGCCUUUCACCCAUCGGUAGUUCUCCUCCUGUCCCUGCCUCUAUGCACACACACUGCCAGGCAUAGUCUUCCUCCCUCUCUGUGUGUGUGUGUCUCUCUCUCUCUCGCUUCAGCUCCUAAAACGUAAGAUGCAUCGGAUAUAAAAACACGCACAUAAACACACACACACACACAUACAUCAACAAGCCAUGGGGAAAGAUCAGGAAUUACUGCAAGCUGUCAAAACCGAAGAUGUAGCUGCAGUGCAGAAGCUGUUGCAAAGGCCGAAACAACGCAAAGCGAAUAUGAAGAGACUCUUUUAAAAUAUCCUCUCGGUUAGUGGUUCAGGCAUGAAAGUGCAAUAUGUACAUUUAUGUAUAUACAUGUACAUGCGUAAUCUGAAAAGAAAAUGACGAGAAAUCACUUGUUGCAAGGGUGGAGUUAGUGGAACCGAAAAAGAUGUCUCCCUCACAGCGUUCGUGACAAAAGAAUUGCAUCGUUCCUUGGCGGCCUUUCAACAGAAGAAUAUUCAGAGAUUUCCCGAGUGGACACAAUCAUCGCCUUGGAAGCUUCAUCACGAUACUACUUUGCAUUUCUGAAGAGGGAAGAAGAAAUCAAUAUGCAAAUUCAAUUCCAUGGUUUUGGAAGUCCCAUGUGAGAACACGAUUCAUUUGCGCCGGCAUAAUGCUCUGACCGAGAAAGAAUUGAAGUUUCCACUUGGAAGAAAGAUUCACAUCAAAUUGACUGGUCAAGGAAAUGGGACACUGACUAACCUUACGAUGAGACUGUUUUGAUGAGGAAUUUAAAGAUUAUGUGUCCCAUCCAUUUGACGCACAGUUUGGUACCAUAGGUUGGUACGAUCUUCGUUCAUGAAGGAAAAGGGAUGUUCCAGAUACAGAAAAUCGUCAAACCAUUUAUGACAAAGUCCGUUUCUGGGUGGAGUUAGUGGAACCGACAAAGAUGUCUCCCUCACAGCGUUUGUGACAAAAGAAUUGCAUCGUUCCUUGGCGGCCUUUCAACAGAAGAACAUUCAGAGAUUUCACGAGCGGACACAAUCAUUGCCUUGGAAGCUUCAUCACGAUACAACAUUGCAUUUCUGAAGAGGGAAGAAGAAAUCAACAUGCAAAUUCAAUUCCGUGUUUUUGGAAGUCCCAUUGAGAACACGAUUCAUGUGCGCCGGCAUAAUGCUCUGACCGAGAAAGAAUUGAAGUUUCCACUUGGAAGAAAGAUUCACAUCAAAUUGACUGGUCAAGGAAAUGGGACACUGACUAACCAUAGGAUGAGACUGUUUUGAUGAGGAAUUUAAAGAUUAUGUGUCCCAUCCGUUUGACUCACAGUUUGGUACCAUAGGUUGGUACGAUCUUCGUUCGAGAAGGAAAAGGGAUGUUCCAGAUACAGAAAAUCGUCAAACCAUUUACAACAAAGUCCGUUUCUGGGUGGAGUUAGUGGAACCGAAAAAGAUGUCUCCCUCACAGCGUUUGUGACAAAAGAAUUGCAUCGUUCCUUGGCGGCCUUUCAACAGAAGAAUAUUCAGAGAUUUCCGG